GCAGUCGUGGCCGAGUGGUUAAGGCGGUGGACUAGAAAUCCAUUGGGGUCUCCCCGCAGAGGUUUGAAUCCUGUCGACUGCG
rfam:Ixodes scapularis strain Wikel colony gcontig_1108378564262, whole genome shotgun sequence.